ensembl:lncRNA
UUCUUGCCCGCCUUAGAAAGCUGUGAGGGCACUGUGGAGAGGGCUGGGUGAUAGCAGCCUGUUUGUAACCCUUGAUAAACGCCACGGUGCAGUCAGCGUGAAAUGAAGAAAUAUUGCUCCCGAUCAGUGCAAUUUCUGCUGCUCAGGAACAAAGAAAAGGAAAGAAGAAAGGACACAAGAAUGAAGUCACAAAAGGGGGAGAACAUGCGGGAAGAUGGAAGGUGUUCUUGUUGCCAGGACACCAAGCAGAGGCUGUCAACUACCUGCCGGAGUUGCUCCUUUCCAACUUGAAAACUUGCUUUCAUCUGUACAUGGAAACUGGACCAUAUACCUUCCAUCAUGCUCCACAUAUAGCUGCCAUUGGGAAAUUCUUGGACAUUCCAAGCCAUCACACCAGUUUAACCCAUUUGCAUAGGGGUUUCUUGCCAUAAGUGCAACCCUUUUCCUCCUUAAUGGGUUUAAGCUGCUGCAUGGGACAAAGACAGAGUGACAAGAAAUGGUUACAAGUGGAGGACCACAGUGUCUGGAGCCCCAGUAAAAUACAUUGAAUAAAUCAGGGUAAGUGAAUAAUCA